CACGUAGGGGGCGAGCGUUGUCCGGAUUUAUUGGGCGUAAAGAGCUCGUAGGUGGCUUGUCGCGUCUGCCGUGAAAGCCCGUGGCUUAACUACGGGUCUGCGGUGGAUACGGGCAGGCUAGAGGCUGGUAGGGGCAAGCGGAAUUCCUGGUGUAGCGGUGAAAUGCGCAGAUAUCAGGAGGAACACCGGUGGCGAAGGCGGCUUGCUGGGCCAGUUCUGACGCUGAGGAGCGAAAGCGUGGGGAGCGAACAGG
rnacentral:rRNA from 1 species